UUUUUUUUCUUCCUUUGCUGGUCUCCACAGUGACUCCUGUCUCCGCUCUUGUUGUGUCCGCUCCCAAUUAUUCACCAAAUCUGGUUGGCUUCGCUCCCCCCGCAGGAAUCCACCAAAUUCAUAGCAUCGAUGAUCCCCCUCAUCCAUAAAUUGAACCUACAGAUGUAAAGUGAGGUGCUGCUAUUGGAGGACGAUGGCGGAUGUCCGAGAUGAAGAGGAACACCACCGUCCUCACCAUGGCUCCGGCGCUACAGACCUCCCCUCGUCUAUCCGAGACCACCACCAGAACCGCCUUGCUCUCCUUUUUCUCCACACCCAAGGAAUCGGCAUGGGGCUCUGUAAAUCGACGGUGAAUUCGCCGAUUCUUCUCCAACUCCGGCGACCGAAUUCGUCAAUUCCGGCCGUCUCCGACCUUCUCCGUGGUUUUCGAGCACACCAUCGCGUUCCUGGUCGUCGUCGUGUUCUUGGAGAAGAUAUAGGGCCUGGUGCGUAUUACUGUUUUAAAUCGGCUAGGAGGUUGCGAUGACUCAUGAAUAGGGAAACAUUGGGGGAUCUCAUCAUAUUACUGAUUGUGUGCCGGCCGGAUGCGAUGGAUGAAGUUGGAACGGUCGCUAUGAUAACAACUACUUUCAGUCUUCCCUAUAGCGUGAAAUUCCACCGAAUGGUUCUCUAUAUAACCAAAUCUCCACUGUUCUCGUCGUUGUCCGUCAACUACGGCCGGUGCUUGAGGCGCUGUAUUGUGGCUAUUGUAGGUGGAUGUCCUUGCGAGCUAGCUUCCGGCGAGCGGACGAAAAUUUGAUGUCUUGCAUCUGAGUGUCCGCUGGGAGGCUUCUAUUUGGAGGAGUGUGAGGACAUGGUCCUAAAUUGAACAGGGAGAAUCUGGCGGAGGUCCCCUCCUAGAACCACUGUCAUGCCGCCGAAUGCCUUUUUGCUACUGUUCUCAUUCUUAUUCCUUAAUAUAUCUCCCAGGGUUCUGUCAAGCGCCUCGAAACUUAUCUUAUUUGCCAUUGGAGCCUCAUCCCAUAGAAUUAGUGAUGUUUUAUUUAUUAGCUCUGCCAAGUGUGUUCCUUGCUUGAUGUCGCAUGUUGACUGUUCUGUGAGUAUUAGAGGGAUAUGGAACCUUGAGUGUGCUGUCCUACCUCCCUGCAGAAGUAGCGCCGCAAUUCCAGAUGAUGC